GUGCGUUCCACCCCGGCCGAGGUGAAAUUUUCGGUUUGUUUCGCGAAAACAAGGGAAUCAUGGCUGUCUUGGGAAUUGGUAUUUACGACGUUGGAUGGACGGAAGAAAGUGUUUUAUAAAAGUGACUGUAUUAAAGUGUUGGGAGCGUGGCUCUCUCGGAGAAAUAAAUAUAUCACGCUUUCUUACGGAUGGUACGUAUUUUAUGAACGUUUUUUUUUCUUCUUCUUCUUCUUCUUCUUCUUCUUGGUCUCGUACUUCAUACGUCUUUUGAUUUAACUCCUUUUAUGCCCGGGGGCGAGUGCUCGCUAGAUGGGGUUACCGAUGAGUCUAUAAACAGCCAAAUCCUCUCUUUUUUCUUCUCUCUCCUAUACUUUUUCUCCUCUCUCGUUUUUAGUACCGCGAUAUAUUAUUCCUUGAAUUAUGGCAGACUUUCUAGGCAAUUUAGAAGAAAUACGAGGAGAAAUAGGCGAAAGGGAAUAUCUACCAUCGAGGUGGUGGAUAUAAAAGUUCGGAUUAUCGAGUAAACAGCAAGAUAGAUUUAAGAACAGAAUUAUGAAAGUAAAUUUAUCCUAUCGAGCCAAUCUCACCGACGAAAUCUCCGCCAUUUUCCAAACUGCUCGUAGAUGUCCAGCCCAGUGGAUAGCAGAAUUGCUCUUGCGCUCGACAGUUGAACGAUUAUUUAUAAUACAGCUGUAUUCCAGCCCUUCAUCGGACCCUUCUCCAAGUUUCUUGCAGUCGUUAUUAAAGUUUACGCAUUCUCAAAAGGAAUUACCAUUAUCCGCCCCGCUGUUCGGGCCAAACGACCAUUUCCUAAAUCCGUUCACAUUCUAAUGGUAUCAUUAAGGCGCAACGAAAUUAAAAUU